rnacentral:tRNA from 1 species
UUUCCUAUGGUCCAGUGGUUAAGACUCUGUGCUUCUAACGCAAGGGGCUCAGGUUCAAUCCCUGGUAGGGGAA